AGUGAACGCUGGCGGUAGACCUAACACAUGCAAGUCGAACGGCAGCACAGUAAGAGCUUGCUCUUACGGGUGGCGAGUGGCGGACGGGUGAGGAAUACAUCGGAAUCUACUUUUUCGUGGGGGAUAACGUAGGGAAACUUACGCUAAUACCGCAUACGACCUACGGGUGAAAGCAGGGGAUCUUCGGACCUUGCGCGAUUGAAUGAGCCGAUGUCGGAUUAGCUAGUUGGCGGGGUAAAGGCCCACCAAGGCGACGAUCCGUAGCUGGUCUGAGAGGAUGAUCAGCCACACUGGAACUGAGACACGGUCCAGACUCCUACGGGAGGCAGCAGUGGGGAAUAUUGGACAAUGGGCGCAAGCCUGAUCCAGCCAUACCGCGUGGGUGAAGAAGGCCUUCGGGUUGUAAAGCCCUUUUGUUGGGAAAGAAAAGCAGCAGGUUAAUACCCCGCUGUUCUGACGGGACCCAAAGAAUAAGCACCGGCUAACUGCGU
rnacentral:rRNA from 1 species